rnacentral:hammerhead_ribozyme from 1 species
AUCCAACUGACGAGUCCUAAAUAGGACGAAAUGAGCAUCCUGGAU